rnacentral:rRNA from 1 species
GACGAACGCUGGCGGCGUGCCUAAUACAUGCAAGUAGAACGCUGAAGGAGGAGCUUGCUUCUCUGGAUGAGUUGCGAACGGGUGAGUAACGCGUAGGUAACCUGCCUGGUAGCGGGGGAUAACUAUUGGAAACGAUAGCUAAUACCGCAUAAGAGUAGAUGUUGCAUGACAUUUGCUUAAAAGGUGCAAUUGCAUCACUACCAGAUGGACCUGCGUUGUAUUAGCUAGUUGGUGGGGUAACGGCUUACCAAGGCGACGAUACAUAGCCGACCUGAGAGGGUGAUCGGCCACACUGGGACUGAGACACGGCCCAGACUCCUACGGGAGGCAGCAGUAGGGAAUCUUCGGCAAUGGACGGAAGUCUGACCGAGCAACGCCGCGUGAGUGAAGAAGGGUUUCGGAUCGUAAAGCUCCGUUGUAAGAGAAGAACGAGUGUGAGAGUGGAAAGUUCACACUGUGACGGUAUCUUACCAGAAAGGGACGGCUAACUACGUG